GGCGGACUUUCAACCACUGUGCCACCAGGGAAGCCCAUAGGGAGGAAUCAGUUGCAGUCUUGAAACUAUUUUUGGAGAAAGUAAGGGCUUCACUUUGUCCAUGUGUAGAGCUGAGCAAGUCCACAUCCUCUCAUCUCCAUAUUUUUCACCGCUACUAAAAGGCCUCUCACUGUUGUGGCCUCUCCCGUUGCGGAGCACAGGC